UACGGAGGGAGCUAGCGUUGUUCGGAAAUACUGGGCGUAAAGCGCACGUAGGCGGCGCAGCAAGUCAGGGGUGAAAUCCCGGGGCUCAACCCCGGAACUGCCUCUGAAACUGCAGUGCUAGAAUCUUGGAGAGGCGAGUGGAAUUCCGAGUGUAGAGGUGAAAUUCGUAGAUAUUCGGAAGAACACUAGUGGCGAAGGCGACUCGCUGGACAAGUAUUGACGCUGAGGUGCGAAAGCGUGGGGAGCAAACAGG
rnacentral:rRNA from 1 species